rnacentral:rRNA from 1 species
UACAGAGGUGGCAAGCGUUGUUCGGAAUUACUGGGCGUAAAGGGCGCGUAGGCGGCCUUCUAAGUCAGACGUGAAAUCCCCCGGCUUAACCUGGGAACUGCGUCCGAUACUGGCGGGCUUGAAUUCGGGAGAGGGAUGUGGAAUUCCAGGUGUAGCGGUGAAAUGCGUAGAUAUCUGGAGGAACACCGGUGGCGAAGGCGGCAUCCUGGACCGACAUUGACGCUGAGGCGCGAAAGCCAGGGGAGCAAACGGG